rnacentral:misc_RNA from 1 species
AGAGAGAGACACACACACACACAUGGAAGCGCGGGGUUGAGUGUUGCAAUUUUAAAUUUUAAAUGCAACCCAAUUUAAUCUCUAUGUUAGCAAUUAAUUUUCCCAAUAUAUGGUUAGAACUCUUAUAACACUAAUUAGUAUUUAACCUAUUUUGCCAUUAGAAAACUUAAGAUAACUUAAGAGAAGAUAAAGAGCAAACCUAACUUAGGUUUAGGGAUUUCUUAGUCUGUCCACAUGAGCCUUUGUGUUCGACAUUCCCAACUCUUGAACCGCAAGUUCUCUUUGUGUCUCUCCUUUGGUUGGCCACCAAUAACACAAGAAGAAAAGAGGUUCAACUGCCUUUGGUUUUUGUACGGAUAAGUAGAGAAACAUUUUCUCUACUUUUAAGUCUCAAGGUAACGACUUGUAAUGCUCUUGAGAUUGAAAGAAGAAAGGGAGAAGAAAUUUGCUCUUGAGAGAAAAGAGAAGAAGAAAAAGAAAUCCCUUAUUCAUCUUUUGUAUUUGGGUUAGCUUUAUAUAAUUUAUGGAUACAUUUAGUACUCUGUAUAAAGGUGCAUAUGUCAUUUCAGCAUGGGGCAUGCAUGAAGGAGAUCUUUAUUUGGUUUGUAAAAUUAUACUUGUGGUUUAUUUACGCAAUAAAUUUCCUUAUGUAAUUUUCAAUAUUCCAUGUUCCUUCAUGUGGCUUCGGGUUGUCUUAAAUAAAAUUUCUCCUCCUAAAUUUGGGUUGUUUUUCUGUCCUGCUAAUUUGCUAGUGGUUCUGAAACUUCUUUUAUGAUUGAAGGAUUUCACUCCCUCCUUG